AACCUGUGAUGACUAUAUUCUGCCAAAUGAUUUCUGUGAUUAUACCCCAUACCGUUCCAUUUCUAGUCUGAGGUU